rnacentral:misc_RNA from 1 species
AAAGUGCGAAAUGUCAUGCGACACGCGACGCUCGUGAGUCAUCAAAUGGUUGAACGCAUCUGGCGCCACCGCGAGAGCGGCGGCACUUUUCCUCGAGUGUGGUUUGGCCUCCCUCGUCCCUCACGGGCGGAUUUGGGUCCCGUUUCGCUUUGCUUUUGCGGCAAAGCGUGACCCCAAGAAUCGAGCGGGAGAUUCGAGUGCUGUCGUCGAAAGCCGACAGUGCCCGCAGCCAAGCCGAAAGAGCCACGGCGACACCGGUGCUUUUUCGGCUCUUGGCCCGCGGAACACGGGUCUCCCCACCACCACAAGUACCUACCUCGAGUGAAGAGAGACUACCGGCUGGACUGAA